AUGGCUUCCAGCCCGGCGCUCAUCGAGCUAUGCUCCCCUACGACCAUGCAGCGCCCUCUCCCCUCUAUCUCGCCAGCGCGUCCUCCGGGCUUCGAAGCUUCUCCAACUCCAGCGAUCCCUUGUAGUGGAACAUUGCAGCGCACCCCCACGUCGCCUCGGGCUCACCAGCGCACUUCGGACGACUCGCUACCGGCAGGCCUGGCGGCGCUUGCCGCGCCGUGCCCUGCGGUGGAGCUCCCGGAGUUGCUCUUCUGCAUGCGCCAACCGGCGCUGUUGGCGCCUUCUCAGGCGCAGCCCCAGCUGCACACCUCGCCGAUGUCGACCCCUCCUAGAAGGCCAGCAGCGCGCCGGAAGACGCUGGCGGGCAUCAAGAUUUCCUCUGCUGGUGGCCUCUCGCUGCAACGGGUGCGGCACACUGCUGUGCGUCCGGCGGCUGUACGGGCGGCGAAGACGACCGAAAGGCUGAUUUGUUGUAGCAUGGGCAUCACCAGGGACGGUGAAGACGUCACCGAGAGCACUCUUCAAGCAUUCAUAAACAAGUUCAAAGAGCACUUUCUUGAUGAUGUAAUUGUUGCCAUGAGGGAGUUCUUUGAGCUUGACAACACAACCGUCAACGUCGUCGAGGACGCACUGAUUGGCCAUGGAGGAGACGGAUUGCUGGACACAGCCACUAGACCACAAGAUGAUGGAGCGCAGGCGGCGCUCACCCGAGAAUGGCUGCUACUAGUUUGUUGUUUAGGGAAUUUAGGUGUGCCAUGUUAG
rnacentral:rRNA from 1 species